AGCGAACGCUGGCGGCAGGCUUAACACAUGCAAGUCGAACGGUCCUUCGGGAUAGCGGCGGACGGGUGAGUAACACGUGGGAACGUACCCUUAGGUUCGGAACAACACAGGGAAACUUGUGCUAAUACCGGAUAAGCCCUUCGGGGGAAAGAUUUAUCGCCUUUGGAGCGGCCCGCGUCUGAUUAGCUUGUUGGUGAGGUAAUGGCUCACCAAGGCUACGAUCAGUAGCUGGUCUGAGAGGAUGGCCAGCCACCCUGGGACUGAGACACGGCCCAGACUCCUACGGGAGGCAGCAGUGGGGAAUCUUGCGAAAUGGGCGAAAGCCUGACGCAGCCAUGCCGCGUGGAUGAUGAAGGUCUAGGAUUGUAAAAUCCUUUCACCGGGGACGAUAAUGACGGUACCCGGAGAAGAAGCCCCGGCUAACUUCGUGCCAGCAGCCGCCGCCG
rnacentral:rRNA from 1 species